rnacentral:misc_RNA from 1 species
UACGGAGGGUGCGAGCGUUAAUCGGAAUUACUGGGCGUAAAGGGUGCGUAGGUGGUUUAUUAAGUUAUCUGUGAAAUUCCUGGGCUCAACCUGGGGUGGUCAGAUAAGACUGGUAGACUCGAGUAUGGGAGAGGGUAGUGGAAUUUCCGGUGUAGCGGUGAAAUGCGUAGAGAUCGGAAGGAACACCAGUGGCGAAGGCGGCUACCUGGCCUAAUACUGACACUGAGGCACGAAAGCGUGGGGAGCAAACAGG